rnacentral:rRNA from 1 species
GACGAACGCUGGCGGCGUGCCUAAUACAUGCAAGUCGAGCGCUGACGGAUUGUACUUGUGCUCACAGGAUGAGCAGCGAACGGGCGAGUAACGCGUGGGGAAUCUGCUUUUGUGCGGGGGACAAUAUUGGGAGACGAAUGCUAAUACCGCAUCAAAACAUUAAACACAAGAAUCAAGUUUGAAUGAUGCAAUGGCAUCACUAAAAGAUGAUUCCGCGAUGGAUUAGUUAGUUGGUGAGGUAAAGGCCCACCCAGGCGAUGAUACAUAGUCGACCUGAGAGGGUGGUCGGCCACAUUUGGACUGAGACACGGCCCAAACUUCUUCGGGAGGCAGCAGUAGGGGAUCUUUGGACAUGGGCGGAAGGCUGAACGAACAACGCCGCGGUAGUGGAGGAGGUUUUUCGGUUGGAAAACUCGGUUGGUUGAGAAGGAAGUGGGGGAGGUUGAAAAGCCGAUCAAGUGACGGUAACUAAACAGAAAGCAACGGCUAACUACGUG